CGUGUAGGCGGCCUGAUAAGUCAGACGUGAAAGCCCGCGGCUUAACCGCGGGACUGCGUUUGAAACUAUUAGGCUUGAGGAUCGGAGAGGGCAGUGGAAUUCCCAGUGUAGCGGUGAAAUGCGUAGAUAUUGGGAGGAACACCAGUGGCGAAGGCGACUGCCUGGACGACACCUGACGCUGAGGCGCGAAAGCUAGGGGAGCAAACGGGAUUAGAUACCCCGGUAGUCCUAGCCGUAAACGAUGGGUACUAGGUGUGGGAGGUAUCGACCCCUUCCGUGCCGCAGUUAACACAAUAAGUACCCCGCCUGGGGAGUACGGCCGCAAGGUUGAA
rnacentral:rRNA from 1 species